GCCGUUUACAACUCCCUGUAAUGCCGAAUUAGAGCGCAGAUCUUGAGGCGGAGGAGGAGGGGAAGGUAUGGAGAGGAGGCUAUGCCCCUCUUCCUCUCCUGAUUGCCUCCCAUUUAGGGGAAAUGUUUCCCGCUAAAUUUAGCAGGAAAAAUUUCCCCGCAAAAUUUAGCGGGGAAAAUUUCCCCUAAAUGGGAGGCAAUCAGGAGAGGAAGAGGGGCAUAGCCUCCUCUCCAAU
rnacentral:SRP_RNA from 1 species